rnacentral:tRNA from 1 species
GGCAUUGUAGUCUAAUGGGUAAGAAACUAGUCUUGUAAUCUAAAGGUCGCAGGUUCGAUUCCCUGGUAGGACACUGCCG